rnacentral:rRNA from 1 species
GAUGAACGCUGGCGGCGCGCCUAACACAUGCAAGUCGAACGAUUAAAGCACCUUCGGGUGUGUAUAAAGUGGCGAACGGCUGAGUAACACGUGGGCAACCUGCCCCUCUCAUUGGGAUAGCCACGGGAAACCGUGGAUAAUACCGAAUACUUCGGGACUUCCGCAUGGAAGACUCGAGAAAGCUCCGGCGGCGAGGGGUGGGCCCGCGGCCUGUUAGCUUGUUGGUGGGGUAAUGGCCUACCAAGGCAAUGAUGGGUAGCUGGGUUGAGAGACCGACCAGCCAGAUUGGGACUGAGACACGGCCCAGACUCCUACGGGAGGCAGAAGUGGGGAAUCUUGCACAAUGGGCGAAAGCCUGAUGCAGCGACGCCGCGUGCGGGAUGAAGGCCUUCGGGUUGUAAACCGCUUUCAGCAGGGACGAGGCGAAAGUGACGGUACCUGCAGAAGAAGCCCCGGCUAACUACGUG